UAUUGCACAAUGGGGGAAACCCUGAUGCUGCGACGCCGCGUGAGUGAAGAAGUAUUUCGGUAUGUAAAGCUCUAUCAGCAGGGAAGAAAAUGACGGUACCUGAUUAAGAAGCCCCGGCUAACUACGUGCCAGCAGCGGCGGGAAUACGUAGGGGGCAAGCGUUAUCCGGAUUUACUGGGUGUAAAGGGAGCGUAGGUGGCAGGGCAAGUCAGAUGUGAAAACCCGGGGCUCAACCCCGGAAGUGCAUUUGAAACUGUCCAGCUGGAGUGCAGGAGAGGUAAGCGGAAUUCCUGGUGUAGCGGUGAAAUGCAUAGAUAUUAGGAGGAACACCAGUGGCGAAGGCGGCUUACUGGACUGUAACUGACACUGAGGCUCGAAAGCGUGGGGAGCAAACAG
rnacentral:rRNA from 1 species